GGUGUGCAAUCAUAUAUUUAAGGAACAAAAACCUCAACAAACAUGAAACAUUAGACAGAAAUAUAUCAACAAAAAGAGAAAAUCGCUGAUCUAAUUUCAAGAAUAGCAUUACAUACAAUUUGGGGAGCUUCCUUGGAACUUUUCUAAGGUUUGAGUUACACUACCUUCUGUCGAUAAAGAUUACUUUUUGGGCAUUCACGUCAUGCACAUGAUUAGCAGGCACUAUUCACAUAGGUGCAUCAUGCAAUCAGUUAUCCCCCCCACAGCAACUCUGUCAGACAAGUGACAACAAACGCAAUAUAACUGAAAAUGAAUCCAAAAGUCAGAUAUACAACAACAGGCAUAUGGAUGAGAGCCCAACAUUCAAAAAGACCACCACAGACACGGAGAGAACUUACAUGUCAAACAAAUUCUUUGCCACCAUGAAUGCAAACCACAAUUGAUUCAUCUUUAAACUUUGACAUACUUAUCAACAUAGCCCUGCAAAUAAAUUUUGUAAGAACAAUGAUUAAACUUGGUAAAAAUGCAAGAAGUAACAAACUGUUCAAAUCUAAUCUUUCCCUGACAAAAAACAUAAGUAACAAACUGUUUGAAUCUUAGAAAUCGACCUAAACAGUGGAGCUCCGAUCCAUUUAAGCUAGGCAACCAAGUCCCAGCAAGCUUUUAUACGGAAACUAUGAAUACAAGUACUAAAAUCUUCAUAGAAACGGUGGCUUUGAAGGUUACAUGCCCA
rnacentral:lncRNA from 1 species